rnacentral:rRNA from 1 species
UACGUAGGUGGCGAGCGUUGUCCGGAAUUACUGGGCGUAAAGGGUGCGUAGGCGGAUAAUCAAGUCAGAUGUGAAAGUCCAUGGCUUAACUGUGGGAGUGCAUUUGAGACUGAAGAUCUAGAGUGCAGGAGAGGGAAGCGGAAUUCCUAGUGUAGCGGUGAAAUGCGUAGAUAUUAGGAAGAACACCAGUGGCGAAGGCGGCUUUCUGGACUGUAACUGACGCUGAAGCACGAAAGCGUGGGGAGCAAACAGGAUUAGAUACC